ACGUGUCGCACUAAAACAUCCAAACACUCAUCAUUGUCUGCACUGGUUCAUGGUGGGAUUAUAUUUCACCCGAUUUAAGAAUAAAAAAUAAUAAAAAGACGUUUCGCCAUCGAAAUGUCACUUCAUGCUAAGUCCGCCUCGCUACCUAAAUGUCAUUUAUUUCACACGUGCUGCCUCUAAGAGCCGCCAUGGCCCCGGGGCGAGGUGCUCUUUGAACCCUUCUAUUGAACCCAUUUCCCCUGUCGUCAUUACCCGCACGUGCUGCAGACAGGAGGCAUGCAACCGGAAACGAGAGGCGAGGCGAUACCAUAUAAGGAGAGUCGACUUCAGCGAGCGUAAAUUGAAGCUAACGUGGGUAAAAUCCAAAACGAUUCACUUUUUCACGUUAUUGUGUGUGUUUACAUUUUUAUCCAAUCAAUUUAAUGUUUAAAAAAAAAACAAGCAGCGUCAUAAAUUAAUUAUUUUAUCUUCACGGAUUUUUCCUUUAGUCUUUACUGCUUUUUAGGUCCCAUUUAAGGGCUAAAGACAGAGCUGGUUUUUAGCUGUCCUUAACCCUUUAAUACCUGAAACCACAAAUUAUGGCCAGAAAAUUCAAAAUUAAAAUGUUUACUUCACUUACUACUGAAAACAAACCAAAAAAUUAAAAUGUCUUCAAACAUUUUUUUGAGCUCGUUUGAUACAUUAGAUGUUUUUGGAAACUGAUACACGACAAGAGGACAUUUUAAUCAUUUAUCAGACUGUAUUCAGGUGUUUUUUUUAGUAAUUUGUUGAUCAUAUUGAUUGAUAGAAGUAUAAAAGUGUGUAUCAAAUAUGGCAUUAUAGGAUUAAGUGUUUUGAAUAGCACAAUUUACACCAAAGUGUGUAAAUCCUCUUCAUUUUGACUGAACCGUGAAGCUGGCAAAGUGGAUUUGACCAAUCUUAUGUAAAUUUUUCUCUUACAUUUUCAGGGAAAUACACUCAUGGUGAACAGAGACAAACAGCGCCAGUCUGCGGCAGCUUUGACUGUGGUUUUCCAUGUCACUGACCUUGGUCCUGAACACCAGACUCCCCUAUACUGUACUGACCAAACUGCAAAGUUUCUGUCCUUUGGAAGACCUUACUGACUUAAAGUUUAUCAGUUAAUGUAAAUAGUGGUAAAUUACUGUGUUAUUUUCUAAAAUUGUUAUUAAGUGUUCUAGUUUAUUAUUUAUAUUUGCAGUCUAAGUUAUGGAAAUGGUUUGUUAAACAUAUUUGUGGUCUUAACAGUAGAAAAUGUUACUUUUUCCCACUCAGAUGUUGUGUUUUGUGUGUGAAUUUAGGUCCUCUGUGUUAAUACAGUAUGUAAAAAUGAUAAAAUAACUGUAAAUUCACACAGGUGAAGGCAACCAAGCAAGGCGAGGUUAACUGUUUUUAAGGGGAAAUAUGAAGGUAAAAUCAAAAGUAGUUAAAAAUAUUGAGCUACACUGAAAGCUCUACUGAACUUUGUAAUAUUAUUACACUUUGAAAACCAAGUUAAACCAAACCGACUGCUGUUUUUGCUUCAAGUUAGAAUCCAAAUGCUUCACUUUCUUACAGGCUAAAACAUUUGCCUGUGUCCCAUCUAACUGUGUUCCCACUAAAGUUAACGAUUUUCCUGUUUUUUUCCCUCUCCCUGAAUGAAACCCCAUAUAUUACAUGCAGUUUUUCGUUCAGGAGCUGUGGGGUUAUUUCGUGUGACUCAGAGAGAGAGAGAGGCCAGUUCCCCAUCGGUAGAUAUUGAAUAUCUAUCUCUGUACACACGGACUUCGAUAAUGAGGAGAGUGUCGGCCACCGUUUGCCCGCCGCCACGCCAUCAAAUAUUCAUCAGUGUUGAUUAAACAGCCGGCAGCUGCCGAUCGGCCGGGUGUCAAAUUUGUAUCCAGCUACCUCUGCACACACGAAGCCUGAAGACAGAGACACGGGGCUGAAAUCACCCACGAAAUAAUAUAGCAAAGAGUUCACAAAGUGUGUGCAUGUAGUCUAUUUAGGCCAAUGUUUGUGUGUGUGAAAUAAUCUGGCUGGGCUGAAGACGACAUUAAUGUUUUCAUUCUUUG